UUAAAGAAAGGAACUCCGUCCUAUUUCAUCACUGUCACAGUGUCAGAGGGAAUUCAAAAUACUCGCCAAUGCUAAGGCUCCCAUUUUUCUCCCCCCAUGGCCCAUGGAACCAGGUGCCUGUGACAGGUGCAGGCAGUGAGGCUGAAGCAGCAAAGAUUGCGCGCUCGGUGGCAUCUUCUUCACCUGGAUUAUUGGCUGGCAAGGCUAACCGAGUGCUACAAGCUUAUUGCUGUUAGUGGUAGCCAUGGUGAUCAUAUUAUAGGCUGCAGUUCAGUAGUUCAUGCAGAUUGUAAUUUAUACAGACUUCUCUAAACUCUAGAAUUGAUGUUGUAAGUUGUAGCUCAGUUUGUACAUUUAAUAUAGGACUUUUGAGUAGUUUUUCUCUGUUCUAUUACACCAUAAUAUAUGAUGUACUGCUGCUUGGUUAAUUAUUUGUGGAUCUAGAGCCAUAGAUUUUCUUUUGUACUGAAUCGACCAAGUUAUGAAGAUUAGCUUAAAUAUUGCUUUUGUUUCCAUUUUAAUCAAAGACCAAGAUUGCACUUACGAAAAGUGUAAACAUUGGAACUAUCAUUAUUGUUUUAGAUUUUUUUUUAAUUGGUUAGUUUACACACACACCCAAUGGGUUUGUGAAUGUAAGUUUAAUCAAUCACUUUUAUUAUAUAUUUAUAUUGAAUCUUCCUGUCUCAAUUAAGUGUUACUACUAGCUUGCUUAAAUUUCCAACAACAAACUUUCAAUACUGCAAAUAAGUUGAAUUGAGCAACUAGCAUGUUUUAUUUUGCUUGAGAAUGCUUCUGAUAGUGAGAUGUUAUUAACAAGAAAACAAGAUAGCAUGUUUUUUCUAUCCUAUUUAGUAAGUUACCACACUUGUUAAUCUUUGUUUUCCUUGAAAGGAGUAUGCACAUUAUUGUUUUUGCAGGCAAGAGUACAACAGCAAGUAUGCUGGCUUAUGUUUUGAAAGCAAUGGGCAAUGAUCUUACAGCCGUAAUUGGAGCAUGUGUGCCACAGGUAUCCACUUCACUUUGAGCUCUGCAGUAGAGCUGAAUUUUACACAUAUAGGUAUCUUUUAUUGUUUGGCCAUAUGCUCUGAUGAGUUCUCUUAAUGCUUUCUCCUUUUCUUUGAACAUUUGCAUUUGGUUCCAUUAGUCGAUUGGCUUGUUUUCUGUAGUUAAACACUUUUCAUGAUAUCGCUAGAUGCUGGAAAUAAUCAAAGCUAUCCUUUUGUAGUUUCUAGAAGGAAAUAUUAUUUUAGGUGGUGGUCAAAAUUUUGUACUACCCUAUCCACUUUAUUUUCAUGAUGUUUAUGAAAUUGUUUGCUUAUUGUAUGAACAUUAACAUUGCAUAUAAGAAUGCUAACUCUAAUAAAGUUAUUGUAAGAAUGAUUUUUUUUUUCUUCUAUGAAUUGAUGAAGAAUUUUGUUUCACGGUUUCUGCCUGAAAAUAGCAAAAUUCAAAUUUCUCAUUUGUCAAAUAACGGAAUCUCUCUGUGUAAAGAUGAAGCAAUUUAUUAAUGAAAAAGGAUUGGUGUUUCAUCAUCAUUACUGGAUCCCACUCCACAUUUCUGUACGGACAGUACAGAUAUGAUCAGUGCAACUUUUUCUGUCUGUUUCUAGACUAUUGCAACUUUAUGCUCAUGCACUUUAUCUUCAGGGUAGGCUGAUGAAUAUGAUGGUUGUUUCUUGGGAUUAUCACCCAACAUAGCUGUAGUAAUCGAUCUGGACUGGGAGCAUGUUGACAUCUUUCAAGAUAAGGCAUGUUGAUUGAUAAGCUUUUUAUGCAUGGAAACUAAUAUUACAAGACUGUAUUUUUGUAGGCACAGUUUAGACUGAUUAAAUAUAUGCUCUCAACAUUAGGAAGCCAUUAAAUCUACUUUCAGGAGGUUCGUCAAUCUAAUCAAGGUGGGUGGACAUCUCAUAAUAUAUAGGGACAGGUAUCCAUUGCCCACUUGUCCUAUUAAGGAUAUAAUCUAUGGCACUAUGUUAGAACUUCUGGGGCAUUGAUAGUUUUAUUUCUAAUUUCUCCAUGCAAGUACAUAAUUCUUGUUUGUAUGUGAUAAGGCUUGUAUAGGGGUGUUUGGAAAACCAAGGCUUUGGUCCAGUUAACUCUAACUUUCAGUGCAAAAAGCCAAAAACCUCAAAUCAAGAUUUCUUACCAAAUAUAUAAAUAAAACUAGUUACACAAUUCAUGGCUAACCCAAAUUUGUGCUAUGGUCUUAUAUAUAUAUAUAUAUAUGCAAUAACUAUUCAAAUUCCUCUCAAAUCUAAUUACCCAAUCAUAGAGGUUUAAGCUUACAGAAUUUGUGGGUUGAUAGUGUUCAUCUGUUCAGUCUAUAUGACAAGAGGGUGAAUGGUUUGCAGUAUCUAUUCAAAGUCAGCAAUUUACUAAGUCAAACAAAGAAAUUUUUUUGACAAAUACUAAUAAUUUUAUUUACAAAGGUCCAAUUCAUUUAAAGAUCAUUUUCAUUUAUCAACAUGAGCAUCUAGUUAGAAUUUUUAAAUUCCAUGAGUAAUUAAGCAUAAGAAACAAGAAUGUAUGAAUGAUAAAUAACGAAACUUACACGUUGUUGCUUCACAUAGAUGGUAUGAGUCUCAGAUUGUGAUAUGACCUUUUUCAAAGAUUAAGGCCUGGCAUCUCACCACAAUAUGGUGAGUCCCAUAAUCCCAUUACCAUUAACCUACUAUAAACUCAGGCUUUCCUCCCCAAAAUGCUUCCUCAUAUCUUUAUGCUGCAACACCAAUGCUGUAUAAGAAGUUCAUGAAUGCUGCUUAUUGAUUUUAUCUCUUCUAGAUUCUAAUUCUGGAAUUUCCUUGAAAGGGACACAACAGUCCAGAUACACGUUCUUUGCUAAAUCACAGGAGACAAGCCACUGGGUCAGAGUAUUCCAGUAGUGUGAUGUUGGCUCCAAACUUGGAGCUAUUUGAUGAGCAUUACUGAAUAACUACUUAUGGAAUCUCAAGUCUUAAUGAUUGGCAUGCAUCCUUAAUUCGUCCCAACUAUCAUGGUGAUUACACAUUGUUAGGUUAUAAUUUUAUUUCUACAUCUCUGGUUGCCCCUAAUGUAGACCCAACCUAUAGAAAGCUAAAGCACAUACAUAUUGAAGCUUCUUUGGCCUUUGGAACAGGAUUUUCCAAAGUUGUGAUACAAAUUUUGGCAGUUCCAUCGGGAGUUCCCAGAGGCAGAUAUUAGUCUACAGAUUCCAGGUUUCAGAAUGUCCUCAAUUCAUUAGCAACGUUUUGAGAUGAUUGGUACAAUUUGUGGAUGCCAUAUAUAUGAUGAUUAUGCACACCAUACAACAGAACUCUGUGCAGUUCUUCAGGCAGCAUGACAAAGGUUCCCAUUCAAGGCUAUAUGGGUGGUAUUCCAACCUCAUUUUUACAGGAGACUGUAGUUGAUGAGUUGAUGGUUCAGAUAUCCAAGGACCUUAAUUGCCAAAUUGUUGUUUUGACCCUUGGAUCAGGC